rnacentral:rRNA from 1 species
UGGGGAAUUUUGGACAAUGGACGCAAGUCUGAUCCAGCCGUGCCGCGUGCGGGAAGAAGGCCUUCGGGUUGUAAACCGCUUUUGUCAGGGAAGAAACGCUCUGGGCUAAUACCCUGGGGUAAUGACGGUACCUGAAGAAUAAGCACCGGCUAACUACGUGCCAGCAGCCGCGGUAAUACGUAGGGUGCAAGCGUUAAUCGGAAUUACUGGGCGUAAAGCGUGCGCAGGCGGUUAUGCAAGACAGAGGUGAAAUCCCCGGGCUCAACCUGGGAACUGCCUUUGUGACUGCAUAGCUAGAGUACGGUAGAGGGGGAUGGAAUUCCGCGUGUAGCAGUGAAAUGCGUAGAUAUGCGGAGGAACACCGAUGGCGAAGGCAAUCCCCUGGACCUGUACUGACGCUCAUGCACGAAAGCGUGGGGAGCAAACAGGAUUAGAUACCCUGGUAGUCCACGCCCUAAACGAUGUCAACUGGUUGUUGGGAGGGUUUCUUCUCAGUAACGUAGCUAACGCGUGAAGUUGACCGCCUGGGGAGUACGGCCGCAAGGUUG